rnacentral:rRNA from 1 species
UACGUAGGGUGCGAGCGUUGUCCGGAAUUACUGGGCGUAAAGAGCUCGUAGGUGGUUUGUCGCGAUGUUCGUGAAAACUCACAGCUCAACUGUGGGCGUGCGGGCGAUACGGGCAGACUGGAGUACUGCAGGGGAGACUGGAAUUCCUGGUGUAGCGGUGGAAUGCGCAGAUAUCAGGAGGAACACCGGUGGCGAAGGCGGGUCUCUGGGCAGUAACUGACGCUGAGGAGCGAAAGCGUGGGGAGCGAACAGG